rnacentral:tRNA from 1 species
GGAUUGUGGCUCAGCGGUGGAGCGCUCGCCUAGCACGGGCAGGGACCUGGGUUCGAUCCUCAGCACCA